rnacentral:rRNA from 1 species
AAACCAACAGGGAUUGCCCCAGUAGCGGCGAGUGAAGCGGCAAGAGCUCAGAUUUGAAAUCGUGUUUCGGCACGAGUUGUAGAUUGCAGGUUGGGACCUCUGUAGAGGCCGGUGUCCAAGUCCCUUGGAACAGGGCGCCAUUGAGGGUGAGAGCCCCGUGGGAUGCCGGGCGACGCAGUGAGGCCCUUCUGAGGAGUCGAGUUGUUUGGGAAUGCAGCUCCAAGCGGGUGGUAAAUUCCAUCUAAGGCUAAAUACUGGCGAGAGACCGAUAGCGAACAAGUACUGUGAAGGAAAGAUGAAAAGCACUUUGAAAAGAGAGUGAAACAGCACGUGAAAUUGUUGAAAGGGAAGGGUAUUGGGCCCGACAUGGGGGGUGCGCACCUCUGCCUCUUGCGGGCGGGGCUCUGUGUGCCUCCUGGGCCAGCAUCGGUUCUUGCUGCGGGAGAAGGGGCUCUGGAAUGUAGCUCUUCGGAGUGUUAUAGCCGGGGCCAGAUGCCGCGUGCGGGGGACCGAGGGCUGCGACAUCUGUCACGGAUGCUGGCACAACGGCGCAAUACCGC